rnacentral:lncRNA from 1 species
AUGUGUGGGGCAGAAACGGCCCCAAAAUUCAACUUGUGGGGCAGAAAUGGACUCGGAACCCCAAAAUCUGUGGGGCUGAAAAUGGAGACCCCAAAAUCUGUGGGGCAGGAACCCCAAACAUCCACUUGUGGGGCUGGAAUGGACUUUGAGACCCCAAAAACUUCACUUGUGGGGCUGAAACCCCGAAAAUUCGACUUACGGGGAAGAAAAUGGAGACCCCAAAAAUUCAACUUGUGGGGCAGAAACGGACUCAGGACCCCAAAAAUCUGUGGGGCAGAAACGGCCCCAAAAUUCAACUUGUGGGACAGAAAAUGGACUCAAAACCCCAGAUCCGUGGGGCAGGACACUGAGACCCCAAAAUCUGUGGGGCAGAAACGGCCCCAAAAACUUCACUUGUACGGCAGAAACGGACUCAGAACCCCCAAAAUAUGUGGGGCAGAAAAUGGAGACCCCAAAAAUCCACUUGUGGGGCUGAAAUGGACUCAGAACCCCAAAAUCUAUGGGGCAGAAAAUGGAGACCCCAAAAAUUCAAUUUAUGGGGCAGAAAUGGACUCGGAACCCCAAAAAUCUGUGGGGCUGAAAAUGGAGACCCCAAAAAUCUGUGGGGCAGAAACGGACUCAGCACCCCAAAAUCUGUGGGGCUGAAAUGGACUCGGGACCCCAAAAUCUGUGGGGCAGGAACCCCAAAAAUCCACUUGGGGGGCUGAAAACGGACUCAGAACCUCAAAACUUCACUUGUGGGGCUGAAAAGGGAGACCCCAAAAUCUGUGGGGCUGAAAACGGAGACCCCAGAACUUCAACUUGUGGGGCUGAAAAUGGACUUUGAGACCCCAAAAAUCCAACUUGUGGGGCAGAGCUGGAGACGCCAAAAUCUGUGGGGCAGGAACCCCAAAAAUCCACUUGGGGGGCUGAAAAUGGAGUCAGAACCCCAAAAAUCUGUGGGGCUGAAAACGGAGACCCCAAAAUUCAACUUAUGGGGCAGAAAACGGAUUUUGGAGACCCCAAAACUUCAACUUAUGGGGCAGAAACAGCCCCAAAAUUCAACUUGUGGGGCAGAAAAUGGAGCUGGACCCCCAAAAUUUCCACUUAUGGGGAAGAAAAUCAACUUCAAGACCCCAAAAAUUUCAUUUUUCGGGGUGAAAAACGAAAUUUAAAGUCCCCAAAAUUCAAUUUUUUGGGGUGAAAAAAAAUGGACUCGGAGACCCAAAAAUUCAAUUUUUUGGACUAAAAAAAAUUAACUCAAAGACCCCAAAAUUUAGAUUUUUUGGGGUGAAAACAUGGACUUUGAAACGACCAAAAUUUCACUUUUCUGGUUGAAAAGAAACGGACUCAGACACCCCAAAAUUUCCAUUUUUUUGGGGUGAAAAACGUGAACUUUGGAACCCCGAAAAUUUCACUUUUCGGAGCAAAACAAGAAAUGGACUCAGAGACCCAAAAAUUUCAUUUUUUGGGGUAAAAUAUCGGACUCGGAGCCCCCAAAAUUCCAUUUUUUGGGGUGAAAAAACCGGACUCGGAGCCCCCAAAAUUUCACGUUUUGAGGUGAAAAAAAUAUGGACUCAGAGACCCCAAAAUUUGAUUUUUUGGGGUAAAAAACGUGGACUUUGGAACCCCCAAAAUUCAAUUUUUUGUGGUGAAAAAAAUGGACUCAGAGAUCCUAAAAAUUCCAUUUUUUGGGAUGAAAACAUGGACUUUGGAACCCCCAAAAAUUCAAUUUUUUGGGGCGAAAAAAACGGACUCAGAGACCCAAAAAUUCAAUUUUUUGGAGUGAAAAAACCGGACUCGAAGACCCAAAAUUUCCCUUUUUUGGGGUGAAAACGGACCCGGACCCCGAAAUUCCAUUUUGGGGUAAAAAUCCCCGAAUUUGGGACGUUUUUUUUGGGGUGAAAAAACGGAAAUUCCGCCAAAAAAAAGGAAAAGUGGGCGGGGCCUGAGGGGAAAAAUGGGCGGGGCCAGGAGGGGCGGAGCUCGAGGCCACGCCCCAUCGCUGACGUCAUCCCCUUUUGGCCCCGCCCCCUUUUGGCCCCGCCCCCUCUCUCACAGGCCACGCCCCGCGGCGUCAAGAGGAAGAUCGCGCUGCUCUGUGAGUGGGCGGGGCUUGCAUAAUUAAUGAGCUCCCGUAAUUAACGGGCCCCAGGGCGGGGGAGGGGCUGGGGAUGCAAAUUAGGGGAAAAAAUGGGCGGGGCUUGGAGAAAAAAGCUAAAAAAUGGGUUUAAUAUGCAAAUUAUACUCAAAUUAGAUGCGUGGUUUAUAUGUAAAUGAGGUAGGUGUGGCCUAAAGAGGCGUAGUUUAAUAUGCGUUAAUUAAUAAUUCUUUAAUAUGCAAUAAUUAGUAAUUAAUUAGAAGUAAGUCAAAGUGCAGCGCGAUUAAAAUAUGUAAAUGAGCAGUGCAGUUAAAAGUGGGUGUAGUUAUGCAAAUUAGGAGUUGGUUUGGGUGUUAAUUAAAUAGCCAUUAGGGUGAUUAAGUGGUAAAUUUAUAGUUUAUGCAAAUUAGGGGUUGGUUUAGGUGUUAAAUAAAUAGCCAUUAGGGUAAUUAAGUGGUAAAUUAAUGGUUUAUGCAAAUUAGGGGUGGGUUUAGGAGUUAAUUAAAUGGCCAUUAGGGAAAUUAAAUGGUAAAUUAAUGGUUUAUGCAAAUUAGGAGUUGGUUUAGGUGUUAAUUAAAUGGCCAUUGGGGUAAUUAAAUGCUGAAUUUAUGGUUUAUGCAAAUUAGGAGUUGGUUUAGGUGUUAAUUAAAUGGCCUUUAGGGUAAUUAAGUGGUAAAUUUAUGGUUUAUGCAAAUUAGGGGUGAAGAGGCGGGGUUGGUUUGGGUGUUAAAUAAAAGGUAAUUAGCGUAAUUAAAGGUUAAAUUAUGUACUAUAAAUUAAUCUGCAUUAAUAUAAAUAUCAAUAUAUUAAAUUAUUCAAUAAUUUUAAAUAAUUAAUAUUAUGUUUUAAACAUCAAAUUUUUUAAAUUAGGCACUAUUUGCUUAGUUAUUAGGAACUAAAUUAAUUAAAUUAUUGAAUUAGUUAUUAAUUACUCAAUUAUUAAGUAUUUUAAUGUUAUUAACUUGCUUUAAUUAAUGAGUGAAUUUUGGAUGGUAAUGAUCGGAUUACCAAUGCAAAUUAGCUAAUUAGAAUAAUCAAUCAGCAGCCAGGAGCGGGACCGGGUUUAGAGCUAUGCAAAUGAGCUAAUUAGCAUACCCAAUCAGUCAGGGGCAGGCUGUAGGUGGGUUAAGAUGAGUUCAGGGCUAUGCAAAUGAGCUAAUUAGCAUACCCAAUCAGCAGCCAGGGCCGGUGCGGAGGCGGACGGGGGCGGGAUGAGUUCCUGUCUAUGCAAAUGAGCUAAUUAGCAUACCCAAUCAAGCAGGGGCGGGCUGCAGGUGGGUGGGGAUGAGUUCCUGUCUAUGCAAAUGAGCUAAUUAUCAUGCCCAAUCAGCAGCCAGGGCCAUUGCUGAAGCGGAUGGGGGCAGGAUGAGUUAACGGCUAUGCAAAUGAGCUAAUUAGCAUACCCAAUCAGCAGCCAGGGCCGGUGCGGAGGUGGACGGGAUCGGGAUGAGUUAAUGUCUAUGCAAAUGAGCUAAUUAGCAUACCCAAACAGGCAGGGGUGGGCUGUAGGUGGGUGGGGACAAGCUAAUGAAUAUGCAAAUGAGCUAAUUACCAUACCCAAUCAGGCAGGGGUGGGCUGUAGGUGGGCGGGGAUGAGUUCCUGGAUAUGCAAAUGAGCUAAUUAUCAUGCCCAAUCAGCAGCCAGGGCCAGUGUGGAGGCGGACGGGGGCGGGGAUGAGUUCGUGACUAUGCAAAUGAGCUAAUUAGAAUACCCAAUCAGCAGCCAGGGCCGGUUUUGUGGCAGACGGAGGCGGGAUGAGUUCCUGUCUAUGCAAAUGAGCUAAUUAGCAUACCCAAACACGCAGGGGCGGGCUGUAGGUGGGUGAUGAUGAUCUAAGGGUUAUGCAAAUGAGCUAAUUAGCAUACCCAAACAGGCAGGGGUUGGCUGUAGGUGGGUGGGGAUGAGUUAAGAGAUAUGCAAAUGAGCUAAUUUACAUACCUAAUCAAGCAGUGGCGGGCUGUAGGUGGGUGGGGAUGAGUUCCUGUCUAUGCAAAUGAGCUAAUUAGCAUACCCAAACGUGCAGGGGUGGGCUGUAGGUGGGUGGGGAUGAGGUAAUGUCUAUGCAAAUGAGCUAAUUAACAUACCUAAACAGGAAGGGGAAGGCUGUAGGUGAGUAGGGAUGAGUUAAUGGCUAUGCAAAUGAGCUAAUUAGCAUACCUAAACAGGCAGGGCAAGGCUGUAGGUGGGUGGGGAUGAGCUAUGGGAUAUGCAAAUGAGCUAAUUAUCAUGCCCAAUCAGCAGCCAGGGCCGGUUUGGAGGCGGACGGGGGCGGGGCCGGCGCGGGGGGGCCCCGGAGGCGCCGCUGGGGGGCGACGGCGCCCAAGAGACCCUCCAUCAGCAUCAGCACCGACAGCCUCAAGGUAAUUAACGAUUUCUGCUAAUUAACUUAAUUACCGACCCGCGGGAAACGGUCACCGCUUUUACCCCG